GUUGUAUGGUUAAGUGACUAAGCGUACACGGUGGAUGCCUUGGCAGUCAGAGGCGAUGAAAGACGUAGUAACUUGCGAUAAGCCCAGAUUAGGUAGUAACAACCAUUUGAGUCUGGGAUUUCUGAAUGGGGAAACCCACUUGCAUAAGCAGGUAUCAUUAACUGAAUACAUAGGUUAAUGAGGCGAACCGGGGGAACUGAAACAUCUAAGUACCCCGAGGAAAAGAAAUCAACCGAGAUUCCGAAAGUAGCGGCGAGCGAAAUUGGACUAGCCCUUAAGCUUUAUAGGCGUUAGGUGAACAAGCUGGAAAGCUUGGCGAUACAGGGUGAUAGCCCCGUAACUGACGACGCAUAUUCAGUGAAAUCGAGUAGGGCGGGACACGUGAUAUCCUGUCUGAAUAUGGGGGGACCAUCCUCCAAGGCUAAAUACUACUGACUGACCGAUAGUGAACCAGUACCGUGAGGGAAAGGCGAAAAGAACCCCUGUGAGGGGAGUGAAAUAGAACCUGAAACCGUGUACGUACAAGCAGUAGGAGCAGGCUUGUCCUGUGACUGCGUACCUUUUGUAUAAUGGGUCAGCGACUUAUAUUCAGUGGCAAGGUUAACCAUCUAGGGGAGCCGUAGGGAAACCGAGUCUUAACUGGGCGUUCAGUCUCUGGAUAUAGACCCGAAACCAGGUGAUCUAGCCAUGGGCAGGUUGAAGGUUGAGUAACAUCAACUGGAGGACCGAACCGACUAAUGUUGAAAAAUUAGCGGAUGACUUGUGGCUAGGGGUGAAAGGCCAAUCAAACCUGGAGAUAGCUGGUUCUCCCCGAAAGCUAUUUAGGUAGCGCCUCGGACGAAUACUACUGGGGGUAGAGCACUGUUAAGGCUAGGGGGUCAUCCCGACUUACCAACCCUUUGCAAACUCCGAAUACCAGUAAGUACUAUCCGGGAGACACACGGCGGGUGCUAACGUCCGUCGUGGAGAGGGAAACAACCCAGACCGCCAGCUAAGGUCCCAAAUUACUACUAAGUGGGAAACGAUGUGGGAAGGCUCAGACAGCCAGGAUGUUGGCUUAGAAGCAGCCAUCAUUUAAAGAAAGCGUAAUAGCUCACUGGUCGAGUCGGCCUGCGCGGAAGAUGUAACGGGGCUAAGUAGUAAACCGAAGCUGCGGCAAUAUACUUUUGUAUAUUGGGUAGGGGAGCGUUCUGUAAGCGGUUGAAGGUGUGUGGUAACGCAUGCUGGACGUAUCAGAAGUGCGAAUGCUGACAUGAGUAACGAUAAAGGGGGUGAAAAACCUCCUCGCCGGAAGACCAAGGGUUCCUGUCCAACGUUAAUCGGGGCAGGGUAAGUCGACCCCUAAGGCGAGGCCGAAAGGCGUAGUCGAUGGGAAACGGGUUAAUAUUCCCGUACUUCUUACAAUUGCGAUGGGGGGACGGAGAAGGCUAGGUGGGCCUGGCGACGGUUGUCCAGGUUCAAGUGCGUAGGCUUAAGAGUUAGGUAAAUCCGGCUCUUUUUAAGGCUGAGACACGACGUCGAGCACCUACGGGUGUGAAGUCAUUGAUGCCAUGCUUCCAGGAAAAGCCUCUAAGCUUCAGAUUGUAAGGAAUCGUACCCCAAACCGACACAGGUGGUCGGGUAGAGAAUACCAAGGCGCUUGAGAGAACUCGGGUGAAGGAACUAGGCAAAAUGGUACCGUAACUUCGGGAGAAGGUACGCUCUCGACGGUGAAGUCCCUUGCGGAUGGAGCUAUUGAGAGUCGCAGAUACCAGGUGGCUGCAACUGUUUAUUAAAAACACAGCACUGUGCAAAAUCGUAAGAUGACGUAUACGGUGUGACGCCUGCCCGGUGCCGGAAGGUUAAUUGAUGGGGUUAGACUUCGGUCGAAGCUCUUGAUCGAAGCCCCGGUAAACGGCGGCCGUAACUAUAACGGUCCUAAGGUAGCGAAAUUCCUUGUCGGGUAAGUUCCGACCUGCACGAAUGGCGUAAUGAUGGCCACGCUGUCUCCACCCGAGACUCAGUGAAAUUGAAAUCGCUGUGAAGAUGCAGUGUACCCGCGGCUAGACGGAAAGACCCCGUGAACCUUUACUACAGCUUGGCACUGAACAUUGACCCUACAUGUGUAGGAUAGGUGGGAGGCUUUGAAGCACGUACGCCAGUAUGUGUGGAGCCGUCCUUGAAAUACCACCCUUGUAGUGUUGAUGUUCUAACGUCGACCCCUAAUCGGGGUUGCGGACAGUGCCUGGUGGGUAGUUUGACUGGGGCGGUCUCCUCCCAAAGAGUAACGGAGGAGCACGAAGGUGGGCUAAUCACGGUUGGACAUCGUGAGGUUAGUGCAAUGGCAUAAGCCCGCUUGACUGCGAGAAUGACAAUUCGAGCAGGUGCGAAAGCAGGUCAUAGUGAUCCGGUGGUUCUGAAUGGAAGGGCCAUCGCUCAACGGAUAAAAGGUACUCCGGGGAUAACAGGCUGAUACCGCCCAAGAGUUCAUAUCGACGGCGGUGUUUGGCACCUCGAUGUCGGCUCAUCACAUCCUGGGGCUGAAGUCGGUCCCAAGGGUAUGGCUGUUCGCCAUUUAAAGUGGUACGCGAGCUGGGUUUAGAACGUCGUGAGACAGUUCGGUCCCUAUCUGCCGUGGGCGUUGGAAGAUUGAAGGGGGCUGCUCCUAGUACGAGAGGACCGGAGUGGACGAACCUCUGGUGUUCGGGUUGUGUCGCCAGACGCAUUGCCCGGUAGCUAAGUUCGGAAUCGAUAACCGCUGAAAGCAUCUAAGCGGGAAGCGAGCCCUGAGAUGAGUCUUCCCUGAUACUUUAAGUAUCCUAAAGGGUUGUCGGAGACUACGACGUUGAUAGGUCAGGUGUGUAAGUGCUGUGAGGCAUUGAGCUAACUGAUACUAAUUGCCCGUGAGGCUUAACCAUACAACACCCAAGGGGUUU
rnacentral:rRNA from 1 species